AGGGAUCAUUACCGAGUUUACAACUCCCAAACCCAAUGUGAACCAUACCAAACUGUUGCCUCGGCGGGGUCACGCCCCGGGUGCGUCGCAGCCCCGGAACCAGGCGCCCGCCGGAGGGACCAACCAAACUCUUUCUGUAGUCCCCUCGCGGACGUUAUUUCUUACAGCUCUGAGCAAAAAUUCAAAAUGAAUCAAAACUUUCAACAACGGAUCUCUUGGUUCUGGCAUCGAUGAAGAACGCAGCGAAAUGCGAUAAGUAAUGUGAAUUGCAGAAUUCAGUGAAUCAUCGAAUCUUUGAACGCACAUUGCGCCCGCCAGUAUUCUGGCGGGCAUGCCUGUCCGAGCGUCAUUUCAACCCUCGAACCCCUCCGGGGGUCCGGCGUUGGGGAUCGGGAACCCCUAAGACGGGAUCCCGGCCCCGAAAUACAGUGGCGGUCUCGCCGCAGCCUCUCAUGCGCAGUAGUUUGCACAACUCGCACCGGGAGCGCGGCGCGUCCACGUCCGUAAAACACCCAACUUCUGAAAUGUUGACCUCGGAUCAGGUAGGAAUACCCGCUGAACUUAAGCAUA
rnacentral:rRNA from 1 species